CUCUCUGUUCUGACAUCAUCAAUCCAUUUGGAGGUUAGCUGGAAUGAAUUGACAUCUGGAAGAAGAAAAGGAAAAGAAAUGACCACUGUACUGCCUCCGCAUGGCCAAACCUGGCAGCCAGGUGCAGGGCCGUCGCUCCCUCGCCGUCACGAUCCUGUAGGCCAGAGAUGGACACAAAGAUGAACAUCAGCAUCCAGUACCCAGUUUGAAGGCUUCUGAAUUAUGGGCAUACCACUGCAGCUCCCGCACGUGCCCAGUGGCAGCAGCAUCAUGAACGGCCGUGGCGCCAUUCUUCGUUCGAGUGUGGCAGGGGAAACACCUUUCCUUCACCAGAAAAUCUAGGCAGUCCAGU